GUGGAGUCAGAGGGACUAUAAAACCAGCUCUGGGAGGGGCGAAGGGAAGAGUUCGUUGGGAGUUGGGUGGUUGGUUGGAGUGGGAGUGAAUUGGGAGAGAGUCUGUGGGUAGGUUGAGUUAGUGUAGCAAAUAAGCUGAGUCAGGAACAGUUAGGAGCUAGGAAGACAAGUAAAUAUCUGAGAGGUGGUUUAGUGAGUGAGAGCAGGUAGCAGAAGUUAUAGGUCUGGAUAGGCACCCCAUGACUAUAAUUGACCGAUACCGUUUAUGGAACCACACACUUGUUAAACUGCAAUAAAUAAACAGAAGCUUAUGUUCCAAUUUAACCCUGACUGGACUCAAUAUUGUACUAGGUAGGGCCUGGGUGGUGGCAGCAAGAAAUAAAGUGGUGGCACAGGGAUCAAUAGACGGUGAAACGUCCGGGGACCCUGUGUGAUCGCUACACAGAGGUUUUCAACCUUUUUGAGUCCAUGGCUCCCUUGACCAACUCCAUUCUUUCUGUGGCACCCCUGUGGGGCACAGGAGCCCAGUUAGGUCACCCCUUGCCUGCAGAGCUGGCAGCCCCUCACCCCUUUUUCAAACACCCUUCCUUGCGGAGUUUGAAGUCACCUUCUGUUUCAGUGUAUCUGAAGAAGUGUGCAUGCACACGAAAGCUCAUACCCAGAACAAACUUAGUUGGUCUCUAAGGUGCUACUGGGCAAUUUUUUUAUUUAUUGAAAGAGGUUGUGUUCUUAUAACAGUAAAGAAUCUUACAUUGCAUAUCAGGGAAGGACUGACCUUGCGAUGCAUUUUGGUAUAUUUUUCGUACGCAAAAUCCAGUAUUUGUUCAUUUAACUUGACUUGAAUGAUUUGUAGAAUAGAAGUUUGGUAUCUUUUAUAAACACCUAUUCUAUUUUGAACAAAAUCUUCCCUUAGGAGAGAGAACGAAGGUCGCCAGCUUUUAACCUCCAUAUAACUGCAUUCCCUGAAAACAAUGGAAGUGCACUUCAACUGUUUUGUCAUCACGAGGGAAUAAAGGUAGAUGGAAAUUUGUUGGUUAUUGUGCAGCAUCUUUCAAGGUGGUCUGUGGGCCACCAGACUUGAUGCGAUGGCAGCAGUGGCAUUUGUGUGGUCAAAUCUCUUUCCUGUUAGUUCUCACAAAGCAGAAAGUGGGGUCUAAACACCAAAGGGGAUGCAUAGAUGUGAGGAGGGACCUCUUCUCCAGCCAGAGCUCUGCUUACCUCUAGAAUCAGAGCUGUAUUAAGGGGAAAGUGGCUUUGGUGAUGAGCCAGGG